UUUCUCACAAGUGCAACUAAACCAAUGGACUAUGCUCAGUUCCUCAAUGCAAGGCUUGAUGUAACAGAGGUUUUACACUUGUCUAGAACAAGUGUAGUGCACUUGGCUGCCUUUGUAGUUAUUGUUUUUAUUUCACCUCUUUAUACUUGCUUUAUUCAAUUCGUUUAUUCAAGUUUCUAUCAAUUCCUUCUGACUGGAGAAACACUUUUUGUCUCAGUUCCUUCUCAAUGUCUGUGGAAGCCUCAGCUUUAUUUUACUUCUCAGACGUUUUAUUAUUAAAUACAUUCUUGUGAGUCAUUGGCUCAAAUGGUUGCAACACUGGCCUCUCCACAGAAUACCACUUCAACUGACUUCACAUUGAGAAGCUGUGGCUCUGCUCUAGGUCUCUUCUGGCUGACUGAGCUUCUCUCUCUCUCUUUACCACCCCUCAAAUGUACUUUUUCUGUGGCUGGAGCUGCUCCUCUGAGGCGGUGAGAUGCAGCCAGCAGGUGACAGAGUGACUGUAGUGGAUGAAUCACAGCGAAGUUCAGGGAGGAGUGAAUCACUGUGUGCAUUGAGCGGUCUUUUCUUGAAGAGCGCACAGGAAAAAAUGAGCCAUUCCGUAUGAGGGAUCUGUCACAUGCCAAAGUAGAUGCUCCUCACACGAAUCUAUCCUUGAGUCGAGGAACAGAAAGCAGAAGAUCCAACUCCAACAACCUUUGACAAUGUUCAAAAAGAUUUUUGUUCAGAAAACCUUCAAUGGUUAAUAGAAUUAGUAGUAUGACACAUUUCAAUAAAUAUUUAGAUAUAUACAGAUAAAGCAGAAAUGGUACAUUCUUUUUUUUUUUUUUCAUCAAAUUGCUUCACAUUUUUUUGUACAAGCCAAAAUAUCUGCCAUUGUGUUUAUAUUCAUGCAAAAUAUUGUUUCUCAGAUUAAUGAAAAUAAAAAAGGAUUCGCCUUUUUUUUCUUUUUUUCACUUUAUCCUGCUUUGUUGUCAGAUUAUAAUGAGCAUUUUUGCAAAUGAAACGGUGCACUUUGUGCCAUCACACGAUCAAAGCUUAAAAAGAAAACAAAAGUUAAGGCCAUUCCAGCUUGUGCAAAGAAAAAAAUAAUUCAUAACUCCUUUAAUUCACAGCAGUUUUGGGAUCCUCCCCCCCUCCCCCAUUGCAGGAUUGUACAAGUACACACAAGAACCAAACCUCUGAUGUAAUUCAUUUAAAUGAACCAUGCUACGGUUAAACCCAAACACAAGUCUUCGGAACACAACACGAACCCUCUCUCGCAGCCAGGGCCCCGACUCCCUCCCCAACAGUGACGACGAGUGGUUGAAUGAAUGCAUGAUAUGCGUUAGGUCCUUUUUUUUUAUUUGCAUAUUCAACCCUGUAUGGCACAAAAAAGACGUAUA